AAACUAUUUUUUUCUCUAGUAAGUCUCUCUCAUCACCCAACACUCUCUCUUUCGCUUUCAAAACCCGAUUUCUUGAUUUCUUGUGUUAUUGUCUUGUGUUGAUUCCCCAUCACUUGUUUGUAACUCAGCUACACCGGUAACAGAUUUUUUUUUAAUAAAAAAUCCAAAUUUAAUUUCUAGAUCUGGAUGGGUUUUCUUCGUUUGUGUAAGGAAGUAAGUUUCUGCUAUCAUUUCUUCAUAGCUCUCGCAUGUUUAAACCUGCCACUUUAUCGUUUUUGCAGAUUAGCUUUCUAGAUCUUGAAAACUAUGAUGGAGACUUAGCUUGGCCCUUGAACCUAAACAGUUUCAGCAAUUUUUGGAGUUUUAAUACUAAGCUGUCAGACGCCUAUUGGAUUUUUCUUGCACAAUCACAGAUCAGUCUUCACUUCAGGCGAAAAUACUCACAAUUUCUUCACAAAUCACAACGCACAAAAUACUCUUUCCAACCGAACAAAUCCCUAAUCGGCAACCACAAAAGCGGCGACAAUGAUCUCCAUCCUCCACAAAAGCAGCCAGUGACAGUGCUCACGAUCCGGUGACUCCAGUCUUCACUCCUUCUCUUUCCUCAGUGCUCACGGUCGCGGCUUCCUCUUCUGUUUAUCGUGAUUUUAACUGCGAUGAGCCGACAACGAUCUCCUCAACAGCUCACGUCUUCGGGCUUCCUCUGCAGUCUUCAUUAACAGCGGCACGCCGACAACGAUCUCCUUUCUUUCCCAUCUUCAACAACAGCAGGCGACAUCGGGCCGUCGAGCCUCUUCACCAACAGCCGUUCAGCUCAUCAUCAACAGCAGCCAUUCAGCUCAUCAUCAUCAUCUUCAACAGCAGCAGGCGACACCGUAAGUUCAUUUUGCCUUCAUCAUCAUCACUGCAUUAGUUGAUUUUGCCCCUGUAAUAGAUUUGUAUUUUGCCAUUUUAAGUGUUAAUUGUUAGUUAGUCUGUUACCCUGUAAUUCAUUUUGCCCGGUCCUGUAAUUUGUAUAUGUAUAAUGUUAAAUUGAUUGGGUGAGAAAAUUGUUGAAUUGAAUGCCA